ACAAAGUAAUAGCAUGUGCAAAAAGUAUUGUCUCCAAGACGACCUCCUCCCAUUCCAAGACUUUGAUCAAUUAUUUCCUCAGCUUAGCCUCCUAUUUGUGAAGGAAGGCCGCAGGUGACUUCCAGGAAAACGCAGCGAAAGUAAGCGAGCGAUCUCACUCUGUCGCUUUCUUAGUCAAGUUGUUAUAAGGAUCAGACUCAAGACUUCUCCAGUCACUUGGUGGAUUCAAUCCAGAGAUCUCAUCCCCUCCGUUGUCCUUCCAGAAUGAAGAGAAAGAGGGAGGGAAGAGAGGCGGAGACGGCAGCCUCGACGAGCAGUAGCCAUGAUGAUGGAUCGGGGAGGGGCUACGAGGUGUUCCUGAGCUUCAGAGGGCCUGAUACCCGCUUAACCAUCGCCGAUUGUCUCUACAAUGACAUGAUCCGCGCGGGAAUCCGCGUUUUCAAAGACAACGAGGAGCUCCGAUUUGGCGAAGAGAUCGGAGGUGGCCUCUUGCAAGCGAUCAAUGAGUCCAGGAUUUACAUCCCGAUUUUCUCUAAAGACUACGCUUCAAGCAAGUGGUGCCUCCGUGAGCUGGCACACAUAGUAGAGUUGUCGAGAGAUAACGACCAGAAAGUGAUCCUCCCUAUCUUCUACGACGUGGACGCGGAUGAUGUCAAGCUUAAGACCGAUUUAUAUCAGGAGGCCCUCCAAAACCACAAGAGCGACUCCGGGGAGGAUUUAGUAAAGCAGUGGGAGGAGGCUUUAAGAGAGGUUGCCAGAAUUAGAGGAAGGAAUCUAAAAGAUCACGGCCUGCAUAAACUUACGAAGCUCAUGGUGGAAGAGGUUUCUAGCUUGUUAUGGACAAGACCAUCGGACGUGCCUGAUCAUUUGGUGGGAAUUGAGGAUCAACGGGAUGACAUUAUGAAGCUGCUAGAUCUAGGAGCUGUUGAUGUGCGGUAUAUUGUGAUUCAUGGUAUGGGUGGCAUCGGAAAGACGACGCUAGCUGAUGUCAUCUUCAGGCAAAUCUCCCCUGAAUUUCAGGAUGGUUGCUGCUUUCUUAAAGAUGUUCGGACGCAUGAUAUAUUAGACUUACGAAAGAAAUUGUCAUCCGACAUUCUCCAUCAUAGAUGCACAGACCUCUCCGAUGCUACAGUGAAUGACAUGAUAAAGACGAGAUUUCGUGGCAAGAAAGUCUUAAUUGUUCUUGAUGACAUUGACAAUCGGGAUCAAAUCAAGAAACUUGCAGGCAAGCCUAAUUGGUUUGGUGGAGGAAGUAGAAUAAUCGUAACGAUGAGGAAUAUUGAAUUCUUGGUAAAGAAAGGCGAAAAUGACAAUGACCCAGCCUCAUAUGGUGAACAUUUUUUAUUCUACCCUAUGCCGGAGAUGAAUUGGGCUGAUGCUCUUCAACUUUUUUGUGAACGUGCCUUGGGAUGUGCCAAGCCUCCACCUGAUUACUUGGACAUUACCUAUAAGCUAAUCGAUGCACUUGGAGGACUUCCGUUGGCUCUUGAUGUGGUAGGUUCCACACUCCGUGGAGAAAACCCAAGUACAUGGGAAGAAGUCUUACACAAGUUAAAGAAGGUGAUGAAUCCAGAAGUCAAGAACAAGUUGAUGAUAAGUUACGAAGCAUUGGAGUUUAAUCAACAACAAAUUUAUCUUGAUAUAGCAUGUCUCUUCAUUAAUCAAGAGAAAACAACAGCAAUUAAAUAUUGGGAUGCUCAUUUUGGGUACCCCACCGAAAUCGAAGUCAAGACCCUCAUGCGUAUGUCUCUAAUAAAGAUCAUCAACGAUGAUACAUUAUGGAUGCACGACGAACUUAGAGACCUUGGAAGGGAUAUCGUUCACCUGGAAAGCUGCAACAUACAUCUAAGAGGCAGCAGAUUGUGGUCACCCAGGGACGCCUGCAAUGUAGUGCGGACAAAAAAGGGAACAAAGAACAUAAUAGCGCUCAAUCUUGGCGGACAACCUGAUGCCACAUGCAAAUUUAAAUGCAAGGAAUUUGCGAGGAUGGUCAACCUUAGGUUCCUUCAAUUGGACGGCAGAAACUUUGAAGGAGACUUUAAAAAUAUUUUCUCAGAGUUAAGAUGGCUCUCUUGGAGCAAUUGCCCUUUCGAAUUUCAAGCUACAAGCUUUGGGUUGGAGAACCUAGCGGUUCUCAAGCUUUCAGGGAGUAACAUUACUGAAGACUGGGGAGGAUGGCGUCAAAUCAUGGCAUCAAAACAGUUGAAAGUCCUAGAACUCCACGAUUGUCCAUCCCUUAGAAAGAUGCCCGAGUUUUCUGCAAUCUCGCGACUGGAGAGAUUGAUUCUCGGAUGCCCUCAGCUAAGAAGGAUUGAUGAGUCCAUCGGCAAUCUACAGCAUCUUGAUUACCUGGAAAUAGAGUGUGAAGCUAUGAAGUCAAUACCAGAGUCCAUCGGUGGUCUAAAAUCUUUGACGGAGCUAAGAAUCGAUUCUCAGAGACUCUCGGUGUUGCCCUACUCGAUUGGUAAUUUGGUGAAGCUGAAGCAUCUAAUCUUGAAAUGCCUAGAACUUCGAGAGCUUCCUGACUCCAUUGGACAAUUAGAGUCACUACUUAAGCUGGAUGUCAAUGAUACGAGAAUUAGAGAAUUACCCAAUUCCAUCGGAAACCUAGAAAGGUUGAGAAUUUUUAAGCUCCCACGUCGCAGUUUAGCAAAGCUACCAGACUCGAUUGGGGGGCUCCGAUCAUUGGUCGAGUUGGAUAUGGCGAAUUCAAAAAUCAGCAUAUUACCUGAUUGUAUUGGAAAUCUGAAAAAGUUGAAGUUACUAGAUCUGAGCGAGAGCUGCAUAAGUGAACUUCCGAAAACCAUAGGAAUGUUGGAAAAUCUGGUAGAGUUGUCGGCCUCGUUUGCUCUGGAGAGGGAAAUUCCAAGUGAGAUUGGGGCACUAUCCUCGUUGAAAAUUCUAGACGUACGGGGUAGCAGAUUUAGUGGAUUGCCGGCAACCAUCAAUCAACUUACAAAUCUCCAGAGACUUGUUUUAUAUAACUGUCGUUCAAUUCAACAGCUGCCGGAACUUCCUCAGAGUCUAACGGAGUUGUGCAUUUCAUCAAACUCGCUGACCACAUUCCCCGACUUCUCAAACCUAACCAAUUUGGUUGAUCUCUCUAUAGAGGGAACACCAGUUCAAGAACCCAACAACGUAGACUGGCUUGUGAGACUACACGCUCUGAGGCAGUUGACCCUGAACGUUGGAAAUAUCACCUUCCCUCCAACCGAUUUCAGUUCCCUCUCUCAGCUACAAGAACUCAAAAUAAGUCAUGCUUGCUUUCGACCUGCUACCAGGCUUCCAUCCAGCCUUCGAUCUUUGGUUUUAGAGGAUGUCCAGUCAGCGAUAGAUUGGUCACCCUUUUCCAACUUGGAGAAUUUGUCAUCGCUGUAUAUUAAGGGAUAUUCACUCACAGAGGUGUCGCUUGGAAAGGAACGGAAAUUCAAUGAAUCGAGGAUGCUCGAUCGUCCAUUGCUCACGACGCUGACCGUUCCGCCUUGUCUGAAGGAGAUCCAGCAUUUGAGCCUGUGGGAAUUGCCUCACCUUGCUGAGAUUCAGGAUUUGGGAGAAUUGAAAUCAUUGCAGACAUUGUGGAUUGGGAACUGCAAUUCCAUCAAAAGCUUAGAUCUGUCUAAUUUACGAAAUCUGAAACGAUUGGAACUCAAGAGUUGUGAAUCACUGAAGCGCGUGUUGGGUGUGCCAGAAUCUUGUAAACUCGAAGUAGAGAACUGCCCGAGGUUCAAGUGAGAUGGAUAAGGUAUGUAUCAUCUAAUUGGCAAGGGUAGUCGAUUGAUGAUAUGAGUUUGCCAAUACCUUCCUUAAUUAGGAGAUUUAGGUCUGGGAAUUUGAUGACUCUUGAGUCUUGACUCAUCGGUGAAUUAUUGUAGGGCAAAUGCAACGACCUGUGUUGCUCCCUUUUGUAUCAUAUUUGUUUCCUGCAGCUCCAGAGAAGCC